UAAAAUAUAAAUAAAGCAUAAAAUGGAUGCCUUGACUCGAAUAUCCGAAGAAGGACGUGCAAAUCUGCGAUAAGCCUAGAGGAGUUGAUAAGAUACGUUAAAACUCUAGGAUUUCCGAAUGGGGGAACCCAAUAUAGGUAAUCUAUAUAAUCCUAAAUAAUAGGAAGGACACAUUGAGAAUUGAAAUAUCUAAGUAACAAUGGAAAAGAAAUCAAAAGAGAUUCCCCUAGUAGUGACGAGCGAAGAGGGAGAAGCCCAAACCGUUAAAUAUGUAUAGGUAGCUUUUGUAUUAGCGGUGUUGAAGGAAUAAUAUACAGAGAGGCUAAUAAUCUGGAUAUUUACUAUAAUAAAUAAAAGAAAGAGCUGAGAAACUCUGCCAUAGAAGGUUAAAGCCCUGUAAAUUAAAUUUAAUUUUAGAAAUAUGUAUUAUAUCCUGAGUAGGUUCAGACACGAGAAAUCUGGAUUGAAACAGGGGAGACCACUCUCCAAGGCUAAAAAGUAUUCGAGAUCGAUAGCGAACAAGUACCAUGAGGGAAAGGUGAAAAGAACCCCGGAAGGGGAGUGAAAUAGAACCUGAAAUUUUAUGCUGAUAAAGAGAUGGAGCCUACGGGUGACAUCGUACUUUUUGUAGAACGGACCAACGAGUUAGUGUAUUUGGCAAGGUUAAGGGAGGAUAACCCGAAGCCGAAGUGAAAGCGAGCCUGAAGAGGGCAUAAGUCAAAUAUACUAGACCCGAAACUGGGUGAGCUUCCCAUGAGCAGGCUGAAGUAUAGGUAAAACUGUAUGGAGGGCCGAACCAAUUGGAGCUGCAAGUCCUUUGGAUGACUUGUGGGAAGGAGUGAAAAGCUAAUCGAACCCAGAGAUAGCUGGUUCUCCGCGAAAUAGCUUUAGGGCUAGCCUUGGUGAACUAUUAUAUAGGGGUAGAGCUCUGAUUGGGCUAGCGGGCUUCACGGCUUAGUCAACCCAGACAAACUUCGAAUACUAUAUAAAUUACACCAGGAGUCAGACGGUGAGAGAUAAGUCCCAUCGUCAAAAGGGAAACAGCCCAGAUUACUAUCUAAGGUCCCUAAUUAACAACUAAGUGGCAAAGGAUGUGGGGUUGCUGAGACAACCAGGAGGUUGGCUUAGAAGCAGCCAUUCCUUAAAAGAGUGCGUAAUAGCUCACUGGUCAAGCGACCCUGCGCCGAAAAUACAACGGGGCUCAAGUUGUUAACCGAAGAUGUAAAAUCGUAAGAUUGGUAGCGGAGCGUUCUGUAAGCCGCAGAAGGUGAGGGGUAACCCGAGCUGGAGGUAUCAGAAGCGAAAAUGUUGGUAUGAGUAACGAGAGGGAAAUGAAAACAUUCCCCAUCGGAAACCCAAGGUUUCCUACGCAACGGCAGUCGUCGUAGGGUUAGUCGGUCCUAAGGUGAAGCUGAAAGGCAAAGCUGAUGGAUACCAGGUUAAUAUUCCUGGACUACUUAUAUAACUGAAGGGGGGACAUAUUUGGAUAUAAGAGAUACUUAAUUACUUGUAUUACGAAAGCGAAACUAGGGAUAUAGGCAAAUCCGUAUUCCUGUUAAAGUUGAGCUAAGUUAAGUUGAUGGAAGCCAUUAUUGGUGGAAAGAUUCUGCUCUUACUAUAUUCAGGUAUCGAGAAAAGCCUCUAAGGGUUAAUUGUAUAAGUAACCGUACCGCAAUCAAACACAUGUGGGUUGGUGGAGAACACCAAGAUGAACGAGAAAACUAUGCUUAAGGAACUCGGCAAAACAGCGGUCGUAACUUCGGGAUAAGACCUGCCUAGAGUGUAAUUUACAAACUAGGCCGCAGCGAAAGAACUCAGGCGACUGUUUACCAAAAACACAGCUCUCUGCAAACUCGUAAGAGGAAGUAUAGGGGGUGAUGCCUGCCCAGUGUCAGAAGGUUACAUGGAUGUGUGAGAGCAUUGAAAUCAAGCCCUGAUGAACGGCGGCCGUAACUAUAACGGUCCUAAGGUAGCGAAAUUCCUUGUCGGGUA
rnacentral:rRNA from 1 species